rnacentral:rRNA from 1 species
CAAUAGCGUAUAUUAAAGUUGUUGCAGUUAAAAAGCUCGUAGUUGAAUUUUUGCUUGCCGCCGAUGUCGGAACUUCCGUACGUUCGGCGGCGUGCAUCCUUGGGUGGAACCUGUGUGGCAUUAGGUUGUCGUGCAGGGGAUGCUCAUCGUUUACUGUGAAAAAAUUAGAGUGUCCAAAGCAGGCUUACGCCGUUGAAUAUAUUAGCAUGGAAUAAUAAGAUAGGACCUUGGUACUAUUUUGUUGGUUUGCGCACCGAGGUAAUGAUUAACAGGGACAGUUGGGGGUAUUCGUAUUCCAUUGUCAGAGGUGAAAUUCUUGGAUUUCUGGAAGACGAACUACUGCGAAAGCAUUUACCAAGGAUGUUUUCAUUAA